UGGGGUUUAGAACGUCUGUGAGACAGUUCGGUCCCUAUCUGCCGUGGGGCGUUGGAAGAUUGAGAGGGGUUGCUCCUAGUACGAGAGGACCGGAGUGAACGCACCACUGGUGUUCGGGUUGUCAUGCCAAUGGCAUUGCCCGGUAGCUAAGUGCGGAAAAGAUAAGCGCUGAAAGCAUCUAAGCGCGAAACUUGCCUCAAGAUGAGUCUUCCCUGGGCCUUUAAGGCCCCUGAAGGAACGUUUAAGACUAAGACGUUGAUAGGCUGGGUGUGUAAGUGCAGCGAUGCAUUGAGCUAACCAGUACUAAUGAUCCGUGAGGCUUAACCUU
rnacentral:rRNA from 1 species